GAAUUGAUGUAAUGAUUCGGAAUAUUUGUGUUGGUGUUGAAAGCUCUGACUUCAAUUUCAAUCUUUGUCUCAUUCUCCAACAGUUGUUGCUUUCUUGGAACAGUGUAAAACAGCACACGCUUCACACAAUCGGUUCGGUCGCUCUAUCCUUGUAGUUGUAGUUCUAGGGUUCUCUAUUUUUCAAUGGCUUCUUCUUCAAGGCUCUCCUGUUUCCACUGCCAGGACUCCAGCUCCAGCCCUGGCCAUUUCAGAAACGGGUGGCGCCUCCGCAGCGGCGAGUAUGCUCAGCUGUGCCCUCGCUGCGCUUGUGUGUAUGAGGAAGGCAGGUUCUGUGAAACCUUCCAUUCGAAUGAUGACGGUUGGAGGGAUUGCGAAUCUUGUGGGAAGUUAGUCCAUUGUGGAUGUAUAGUAUCUUUCAAUACUCAUUUGCUCUUGGAUUUUGGCGGGAUAAUCUGCAUGGAGUGCUCAAGGUUUAAUUUUCUAUUGGCACGAAACAGAUGUCUGUCUCUCGAACCUGAGAUAAGAGCUAAAGAACCUUAUCAGGAACGAACUGGGCAAGCCCUAUUAGAAGCCCAGUGCUGGCAUCGAGUGACUGAUUUGGACCUGCAACAAGUCUCUAGAAGCCCUAAAGCUACCGUCACACCUCUGUUUGAAAAGAUAUUGUCUGCUAGUGAUGCUGACCUCAAAUUAGCUCGCCUAAUCAUACCAAAAAGAUGUGCAGAGGCAUUUUUCCCUGAUAUUUCUGCCUUGCAUGGUCUGCGCAUCAAGAUACAGGAUACAGAAGGCAAUGAAUGGGAAUUCCACUACCGAUAUUGGCUCAAUGGUGGAAGUAGGAUAUAUGUUCUUGAGGGGCUCAGAGAUUAUAUGGUCUCAAAGAAAUGGCAGCCGGGUGAUACAGAUUGAUAACCAGCUAAACUUUCUUCAAAAAAGUGAACAAAUGUUCAUCAGGGCAUAACACCGCGUCAUGUUUUCAGAAAAUAUUUAAGAUAUGCAUAUUUUUUUCCAGUUACAUUUUAUCGAGUGGAUCCAGGGGGAAAGGUGGUAAUGGGAUUGAGAAAAACUUCUACUGGCCAUCAGCUUCCAAGGAUCUAAAGAAAAGGCAUACAGUGGAACGAGGACAACUGCAGCUGGAUGUAAAUAUGUGGUUCCAUCCGACACCAACCAAAGGUUAUGUGCAUACAUAUACUUACUGGCUACCAGAUUGUCGCCCAAUUUUGCUUCUAUUUUCUGUAUUUUGAAGUGUAUUAUACCUCCUGAUAUAUUGGAAUUUUAGUGUGGCGAAGAAUUCUUGUGGUGCGGUUUAGUUUCUCCAAGCCUCAGGUUUGCUAAAUUCACUUGUAAAUGUAUCCUGGAGCAUUGGAUUUCAUGACAUUGGCCUGUGGCAGGGUCUAUUAUAAAUAUAUGUUGCGUAUAGUGAUUUAUUA